UGUAAAUUUGAUUCUGGUUUAGGGAAAGUAGUUUUAUGAUGAUUAUUAAUAUGCUAGUUUUUGCGCUAAAAUUAUUGAUAGUAUAUUAUUUAAAUAGUGAUUGCUUGUUUAUUAUUUAUAUUUAAUGCAGUUUGUAAUAUUGUUAAAUGUAAUAUUUUAUGAUACAGUUAAUUAUAAAUUAACUAGCAAAAAUUGUGCCAGCAGCUGCGGUUAUACAAUUAGUUAUUAUUACUUUUUUUAGAUUAAUUAUUAUAUAUUUAUUUUAACUGAUAUAAUAUUAAUUAAUUUUAAGGUGAAAUUUAAAUUUCUUAAUAUUUAUUUGGCUUUGUAUUAUAAGAAAUUUAAUUAUUAGACUAGGAUUAGAUACCCUAUUAUUUUGAAUGUAAAUUUUUAUUUCUUAUUAUUAUAAGUUAUGAUCUUUAAAUUGAAAGAAUUUGACGGUAAUUUAAUCAUUUUAGAGGAACCUGUUCUUUAAUUGAUAAUCCACGAUAAAUUUUACCUUUAAAUGUUAUUAUAAAUUGGUUUGUAUAUCUCUGUCUGAAUUGAGUGUUUUAUUAGGAUUGAUUCUCUAGGAUUAUUAUUGUAAAAUAUGUCAGGUCAAGGUGCAGCUAUAUAAAGGUUUGUAAUGGGUUACAUUUAAUUAUUUAUUAAUUAUUGGAUUAACUAAUGUAAUUUAGUUAUGAAAAAGGAUUUAGUAGUAAUGUUUAAUAUAUAUUAUUCAUGAUAUAUGUUCUUGAUUAAGUACACAUCGCCCGUCGCUCCCAUCUUAAAAUGGGAUAAGUCGUAACAAAGUAGUUUUAUCGGAAGAUGAAGCUAGAAAUAU
rnacentral:ncRNA from 1 species